ensembl:lncRNA
GUUAGUUGGUAUAGUGUUGAGGUUUUAAUGGGUGAAGGGUUAGUUGGUAUAGUGGUGAGGUUUUAAUGGGUGUAGGGUUAGUUGGUAUAGUGGUGAGGUUUUAAUGGGUGUAGGGUUAGUUGGUAUAGUGGUGAGGUUUUAAUGGGUGUAGGGUUAGUUGGUAUAGUGGUGAGGUUUUAAUGGGUGUUUAAUGGGUGUUUAAUGGGUUUAGGGUUAGUUGAUAUAGUGUUGAGGUUUUAAUGGGUGUAGGGUUAGUUGGUAUAGUGGUGAGGUUUUAAUGGGUGUUUAAUGGGUGUUUAAUGGGUUUAGGGUUAGUUGAUAUAGUGUUGAGGUUUUAAUGGGUGAAGGGUUAGUU